AAAAGGAAAAGGUAAGGACAACGAAACUCAGUUCUCAAAACCUCACGCACGAAAUCUCUCUUCUCUCAAUCGCUACCAGCAAGCUCUCUCCAUCGCCCUCAAUGAAAUCGCUCCCUCAUCGCUCUCUCAAUCUCCAAUCUCACUCAAUCGCUCACUCCAUCGCUCUCAAUGUCUCUCUCUCUCUCGAUCGCGCUCUCAAUCCCUCUUCUAUCGUCGCCCUCACGAAAUCGCUCUCACCCACAACAAAUCAUACUGAAACAAAAACGGGGAGCUCACCUUGCUCAAGGUUUCAAAGGUGUAUUUGGUGUUCAAAGGAGCAUCCUGCAAAAUCCUCUUUCAUGUGCUCAGUUUGGAUCGGCCUGUUUUAAUGCUAAAACCGAAAACGUGAAUUCAGAGUAUUGGUCUGAACUUGGUUUGGGGUGGCUUGUGAGAGGAUUCGUUGGUUGUUGCUGCUGCAGUUGUGAUGUUUGCUGCUGAGGAGAAGGCGUAUUCAUCAUAUUUGUAGAAGACCUAGACUCAAGCUCCGAUAUAGCUACUUCUUUGUCGUGUACAAUGGCAACAAUGUAUUCCUGGUUUUUAUCUUAACCACUGCAUUUAUUUUGGACCAUUGAGCUGCAAUCAUUUCAACUUCUUCAACUCUCAAAGAAUGUAUUGUAGUUAACCACUUAAACUUCUGAAUGUGAAGGCUCUGUGGACAGGGACGAGUCUGUGCCAUAAUUCCAAAGCCAACUGAGCAGACUGAAGAACUUCGGAAGAUUCAUCUAUCAGAUCAUGCUUAUGAUUACUCAAACUAUUAACCACUUAAGCAAUAACUGAAGGAGAAUGGUCUGUUUCACUUCCUACAGGUGUGGAAACCCCAGAUUCAGAUAUAUCACUGUCAACAGCUCGAGACGGUAUAAUAGCCACAGUAGGAGAUUGCAAAGAAACCUGAUCUUUAGAUGAUUGGCCUUUUUUCAGGUUUCUUCUGGUUAUCCUUCAAAGAGUUGGACCGACUAAUGGGUUCCCUCGUGUUGGCUUCAUUAUUUAUCACAACAGAAACAGAAUCCUCGGUCACAACUGAUGUAGGUAGCACUGUAACCUUAUCAGCAGUGACAACAACAGAUUCAGCAGAUUGUUUUGGCAAAAUUUCCUCAGAAGAUUCAACCGGUGGCAUAGGAUAUUCACACGCUUCAGCAAAGUCAUCUUCUGGAACUGGUUCUGGUUGAAAUUUGUUUUAUGGAGAAAAUAAAUGAUCCCAAAUUUUUUUUUGGACUCCAACCUUUGCCGUAUUAAAAACAGCAUGUCUACAAUCCGGGAGGACGCUGACGGACCAAGGAGGUGAAUUAUAAUGCAUAUUGUUGAAACGCACUCUAGCAGAAGAUUUGGAAUCAAAGUUUGAGAGAAAAGCAAAACAAUCUCCAGAUUUUGUCGAGUAUACAUAGGCCUGUUGGAAGUUUCCUAACGAGGUAACAACCGGAUCAGUUGAAACUAAAGCUUGCUCACACAUUUUGAUAGCCUUAUGAAGCUAUGUGUAUGUUUUUCUAUCGGAUCCCUGUAAUUGUGAUUGUUCAGGAUUGUACUUGUAGGAUUCAUGUAAUAUUAUGAACUUGUAAGAAAAUACUGUGAAAUGUAAUUUGGAACAUGACUUUGUAACUUAUGGAAAUGUUGUGAUGGUUGUGUAAUGAAUUUGGAAAUGGAAAUGGAUAUGCAAUGGUAA